rnacentral:misc_RNA from 1 species
AGAUCUUGUAUCUGACCACCC